rnacentral:rRNA from 1 species
GACGAACGCUGGCGGCGUGCCUAAUACAUGCAAGUAGAACGCUGAAGAGAGGAGCUUGCUCUUCUUGGAUGAGUUGCGAACGGGUGAGUAACGCGUAGGUAACCUGCCUUGUAGAGGGGGAUAACUAUUGGAAACGAUAGCUAAUACCGCAUAACAAUGGAUGACACAUGUCAUUUAUUUGAAAGGGGCAAUUGCUCCACUACAAGAUGGACCUGCGUUGUAUUAGCUAGUAGGUGAGGUAACGGCUCACCUAGGCGACGAUACAUAGCCGACCUGAGAGGGUGAUCGGCCACACUGGGACUGAGACACGGCCCAGACUCCUACGGGAGGCAGCAGUAGGGAAUCUUCGGCAAUGGGGGCAACCCUGACCGAGCAACGCCGCGUGAGUGAAGAAGGUUUUCGGAUCGUAAAGCUCUGUUGUAAGUCAAGAACGAGUGUGAGAGUGGAAAGUUCACACUGUGACGGUAGCUUACCAGAAAGGGACGGCUAACUACGUGCCAGCAGCCGCGGUAAUACGUAGGUCCCGAGCGUUGUCCGGAUUUAUUGGGCGUAAAGCGAGCGCAGGCGGUUUGAUAAGUCUGAAGUUAAAGGCUGUGGCUCAACCAUAGUUCGCUUUGGAAACUGUCAAACUUGAGUGCAGAAGGGGAGAGUGGAAUUCCAUGUGUAGCGGUGAAAUGCGUAGAUAUAUGGAGGAACACCGGUGGCGAAAGCGGCUCUCUGGUCUGUAACUGACGCUGAGGCUCGAAAGCGUGGGGAGCGAACAGGAUUAGAUACCCUGGUAGUCCACGCCGUAAACGAUGAGUGCUAGGUGUUGGAUCCUUUCCGGGAUUCAGUGCCGCAGCUAACGCAUUAAGCACUCCGCCUGGGGAGUACGACCGCAAGGUUGAAACUCAAAGGAAUUGACGGGGGCCCGCACAAGCGGUGGAGCAUGUGGUUUAAUUCGAAGCAACGCGAAGAACCUUACCAGGUCUUGACAUCCCGAUGCUAUUUCUAGAGAUAGAAAGUUACUUCGGUACAUCGGUGACAGGUGGUGCAUGGUUGUCGUCAGCUCGUGUCGUGAGAUGUUGGGUUAAGUCCCGCAACGAGCGCAACCCCUAUUGUUAGUUGCCAUCAUUCAGUUGGGCACUCUAGCGAGACUGCCGGUAAUAAACCGGAGGAAGGUGGGGAUGACGUCAAAUCAUCAUGCCCCUUAUGACCUGGGCUACACACGUGCUACAAUGGUUGGUACAACGAGUUGCGAGUCGGUGACGGCAAGCUAAUCUCUUAAAGCCAAUCUCAGUUCGGAUUGUAGGCUGCAACUCGCCUACAUGAAGUCGGAAUCGCUAGUAAUCGCGGAUCAGCACGCCGCGGUGAAUACGUUCCCGGGCCU